rnacentral:rRNA from 1 species
UGGGAAUUUGGACAAUGGGCGAAGCCUGAUCCAGCAAUGCCGCGUGUGUGAAGAAGGCCUUCGGGUUGUAAAGCACUUUUGUCCGGAAAGAAAUCCUUGGCUCUAAUACAGUCGGGGGAUGACGGUACCGGAAGAAUAAGCACCGGCUAACUACGUGCCAGCAGCCGCGGUAAUACGUAGGGUGCAAGCGUUAAUCGGAAUUACUGGGCGUAAAGCGUGCGCAGGCGGUUUGCUAAGACCGAUGUGAAAUCCCCGGGCUCAACCUGGGAACUGCAUUGGUGACUGGCAGGCUAGAGUAUGGCAGAGGGGGGUAGAAUUCCACGUGUAGCAGUGAAAUGCGUAGAGAUGUGGAGGAAUACCGAUGGCGAAGGCAGCCCCCUGGGCAAUACUGACGCUCAUGCACGAAAGCGUGGGGAGCAAAC